AUCAGCGUCAGUAACAAAUUAAUAAUUACAACUUUCAACAACGGAUCUCUUGGUUCUGGCAUCGAUGAACAACGCAGCGAAAUGCGAUAAGUAGUGUGAAUUGCAGAAUUCAGUGAAUCAUCGAAUCUUUGAACGCACAUUGCGCCCUUUGGUAUUCC
rnacentral:rRNA from 1 species